AUUGAACGCUGGCGGCAUGCCUUACACAUGCAAGUCGAACGGUAACGCGGGGCAACCUGGCGACGAGUGGCGAACGGGUGAGUAAUACAUCGGAACGUGCCCAGUAGUGGGGGAUAGCCCGGCGAAAGCCGGAUUAAUACCGCAUACGACCUACGGGUGAAAGCAGGGGAUCGCAAGACCUUGCGCUAUUGGAGCGGCCGAUGUCAGAUUAGGUUGUUGGUGGGGUAGAAGCCUACCAAGCCGACGAUCUGUAGCUGGUCUGAGAGGACGACCAGCCACACUGGGACUGAGACACGGCCCAGACUCCUACGGGAGGCAGCAGUGGGGAAUUUUGGACAAUGGGCGCAAGCCUGAUCCAGCCAUGCCGCGUGCGGGAAGAAGGCCUCGG
rnacentral:rRNA from 1 species